rnacentral:rRNA from 1 species
AUUGAACGCUGGCGGCAGGCCUAACACCUGCAAGUCGAACGAGUGGCGGACGGGUGAGUAAUGUCUGGGAAACUGCCAGAUGGAGGGGGAUAACUACUGGAAACGGUAGCUAAUAACGAAUACCAUCGGAUGUGCCCAGGUGGGUUUAGCUAGUAGGUGGGGUAAAGGCUCACCUAGGCGACGAUCCCUAGCUGGGCUGAGAGGAUGACCAGCAACACUGGAACUGCAACACGGUCCAGACUCCUACGGGAGGCAGCAUGGGGGAAUAUUGCACAAUGGGCGCAAGCCUGAUGCAGCCAUGCCGCGUGUAUGAAGAAGGCCUUCGGGUUGUAAAGGACUUUCAGCGAGGAGGCGUUACUCGCAGAAGAAGCACCGGCUAACUCCGUGCCAGCAGCCGCGGUAAUUC